rnacentral:tRNA from 2 species
GCCGGCGUAGCUCAGCUGGUAGAGCAACUGAUUUGUAAUCAGUAGGUCGGAGGUUCGAUUCCAUCCGCCGGCU